GACGAGGUGGCCGAGUGGUUAAGGCUGGGACUGCUAAUCCAUUGUGCUCUGCACGCGUGGGUUCGAAUCCCAUCCUCGUCA
rnacentral:tRNA from 1 species